rnacentral:rRNA from 1 species
AGUGAACGCUGGCGGUAGGCCUAACACAUGCAAGUCGAACGGCAGCACAGUAAGAGCUUGCUCCUACGGGUGGCGAGUGGCGGACGGGUGAGGAAUACAUCGGAAUCUACUUUUUCGUGGGGGAUAACGUAGGGAAACUUACGCUAAUACCGCAUACGACCUACGGGUGAAAGCAGGGGAUCUUCGGACCUUGCGCGAUUGAAUGAGCCGAUGUCGGAUUAGCUAGUUGGCGGGGUAAAGGCCCACCAAGGCGACGAUCCGUAGCUGGUCUGAGAGGAUGAUCAGCCACACUGGAACUGAGACACGGUCCAGACUCCUACGGGAGGCAGCAGUGGGGAAUAUUGGACAAUGGGCGCAAGCCUGAUCCAGCCAUACCGCGUGGGUGAAGAAGGCCUUCGGGUUGUAAAGCCCUGUUGUUGGGAAAGAAAAGCAGCAGGUUAAUACCCCGCUGUUCUGACGGUACCCAAAGAAUAAGCACCGGCUAACUUCGUG